ensembl:lncRNA
GAACAGCAGAGCAGUCGUUUCACCGCAAAAAAAAAAGUGGAGAGGCAGCAGUUUUUGUCUAAAUCAGCUGACAGCACUGACAGAGUAAAGACGCUAUAGGAGAAGGGAGACCAAACCUUUUACCAUGCGCAGCAGCCUGCUUGAAAACAACCAAAGCCUAAUGUAAUAUUUACACUGGUUCUAUAAAUGUAUAUGUGCACUGCAUAUGUGAUUUGCAGUCCUUAUAAUGUUAAAUUAUGACCAGUGCUGGGGAGUUUAGGGUGCACACUGGGGUUGCAGAGUGUAUGCUUGGGGUGACAAAACUAUAAGAGGCAGUAGACUGAGCGAGAGAGUCUGGAUACAGCAGCAGUAGCAGCAUCGCCCUGCAGCACUGAACCAUGUGGUGAGGAUGUGUGGUUGGUUAUGGCGUGUGCAGGAUAUCUUGCGCAUCCACUGGGUCAAAUUCGUGCCCAUAUUCAAAAAGUGUAUUUUUUUUCCUUUUUUUUAGAGUUUUUGUUUGGCUUUUUCUGACGUUGCGCAGUCCGUGCUUAAAUAGUCAAAUCCAUUAAACACUGCGUCUGAACAACUACCCAAGCAAAAUGUGCUAGUAAAUUAUUCAUAAAGAAGCACGUGGAAGUUUCUUACCGGCGUUUUUGUCACCCAUGUCCUCUUGUGGUGCCGAAGUUGGAUACUGCCGAUGCGGACUAUGCGUUCGCCGCGUGCGCGCUCUCUUCUUCCGUCAGGACAGCUGAGAAGAGGGAGGCAAGUUGGUUGUUUCAAACGUUAUGCUUCCUGUCACAUGUGCCGGGGACUGGCUGCCCUGCUGCCGACACAGGUGAAUCCUGGCGGGCGUCAGUUCACAGCAAAUCAAUGAGAGGACCUGAAAGAGAACACCUCUGCUGGGGGGGAAAUGGACUGCAUUGAUCAGAAAGACACCUAAAGUCUUCUACAGAUUCAGAGAGAGCUUUGUAUGUGUGUUCAUCUCUUUAAUGAAAAACCAAAUGAGCAACAGCUUUAAGUUUACUCUUUGACGCCUGAAAUAUUCAUGCUUUUCACCCUCCUUUUUUGUCUACUCUCUUACCUCUCCCAUCCGGUCUCUCU